GUGCUUGCUUCAGCAGCACAUAUACUAAAAUUGGAUUAUAGAGAUUAGCACAGCCCCUGUGCAAGGAUGACUAGCAAACUAGUGAAGCAUUCCAUAUUUUA
rnacentral:snRNA from 1 species